GAUGAACGCUGGCGGCGUGCCUAAUACACGCAAGUCGAGCGAAUGGAUUAAGAGCUUGCUCUUAUGAAGUUAGCGGCGGACGGGUGAGUAACACGUGGGUAACCUGCCCAUAAGACUGGGAUAACUCCGGGAAACCGGGGCUAAUACCGGAUAACAUUUUGAACCGCAUGGUUCGAAAUUGAAAGGCGGCUUCGGCUGUCACUUAUGGAUGGAACCGCGUCGCAUUAGCUAGUUGGUGAGGUAACGGCUCACCAAGGCAACGAUGCGUAGCCGACCUGAGAGGGUGAUCGGCCACACUGGGACUGAGACACGGCCCAGACUCCUACGGGAGGCAGCAGUAGGGAAUCUUCCGCAAUGGACGAAAGUCUGACGGAGCGACGCCGCGUGAGUGAUGAAGGCUUUCGGGUCGUAAAACUCUGUUGUUAGGGAAGAACAAGUGCUAGUUGAAUAAGCUGGCACCUUGACGGUACCUAACCAGAAAGCCACGGCUAACUACGUGCCAGCAGCCGCAGUAA
rnacentral:rRNA from 1 species